rnacentral:rRNA from 1 species
CAGCAGCCGCGGUAAUACGUAGGGUGCUAGCGUUGUUCGGAAUCAUUGGGCGUAAAGCGCGUGUAGGUAGUUAUGCAAGUCGGGUGUGAAAGCCCUCGGCUCAACCGAGGAAGUGCACUCGAAACUACAUAGCUAGAGGACGAUAGAGGGAGGUGGAAUUCCUAGUGUAGAGGUGAAAUUCGUAGAUAUUAGGAGGAAUACCUGUGGCGAAGGCGGCCUUCUGGGUCGUUCCUGACACUGAGACGCGAAAGCGUGGGUAGCAAACAGGAUUAGAUACCCUGGUAGUCCACGCUGUAAACGAUGAGUACUAGGUGUUGUGGGUUUUGACCCCUACAGUACCGAAGCUAACGCAUUAAGUACUCCGCCUGGGAAGUACGGUCGCAAGAUUAAAACUCAAAGGAAUUGACGGGGGCCCGCACAAGCGGUGGAGCAUGUGGUUCAAUUCGAUGCAACGCGAAAAACCUUACCUGGGUUUGAAAUCCCCGGACAACCCUAGAGAUAGGGCUUUCUCUUAGGAGACCGGGUGACAGGUGCUGCAUGGCUGUCGUCAGCUCGUAUCGUGAGAUGUCGGGUUAAGUCCCUUAACGAGCGCAACCCUUGGUCCUUAGUGCCAUCAUUUAGUUGGGAACUCUAAGGAGACUGCCGUGGUUAAACCGGAGGAAGGUGGGGAUGACGUCAAGUCCUCAUGGCCCUUAUGUCCAGGGCUACACACGUGCUACAAUGGCCGGUACAGAGGGAUGCCAACCCGCGAGGGGGAGCUAAUCUCAGAAAGCCGGUCUCAGUUCGGAUUGGAGUCUGCAACUCGACUCCAUGAAGUUGGAAUCGCUAGUAAUCGCGAAUCAGCAGGUCGCGGUGAAUACGUUCCCGGGCCUUGUACACACCGCCCGUCACACCACGAAAGUUAAUUGCACCAGAAGUCGUUGUACCAACCUUCGGGAGGAAGGCGCCCAAGGUGCGAUUAAUGAUUGGGGUGAAGUCGUAACAAGGUAGCCGUA